rnacentral:rRNA from 1 species
UACGGAGGGGGCUAACGUUGUUCGGAAUUACUGUGCGUAAAGCGCGCGUAGGCGGACUGUUAAGUCGGGGGUGAAAUCCCGGGGCUCAACCCCGGAACUGCCUUCGAUACUGGCGGUCUAGAGGUCUGGAGAGGUGAGUGGAAUUCCGAGUGUAGAGGUGAAAUUCGUAGAUAUUCGGAGGAACACCAGUGGAGAAGGCGGCUCACUGGCCAGAUUCUGACGCUGAGGUGCGGAAGCGUGGGGAGCAAACAGG